rnacentral:rRNA from 1 species
GACGAACGCUGGCGGCGUGCUUAACACAUGCAAGUCGAGCGGUAAGGCCCUUUCGGGGUACACGAGCGGCGAACGGGUGAGUAACACGUGGGUGACCUGCCCUCAGCUCUGGGAUAAGCCUGGGAAACCGGGUCUAAUACUGGAUAUGACUCCAUGACGCAUGUUGUGGGGUGGAAAGCCUUGUGCGGCUGAGGAUGGGCCCGCGGCCUAUCAGCUUGUUGGUGGGGUGAUGGCCUACCAAGGCGACGACGGGUAGCCGGCCUGAGAGGGCGACCGGCCACACUGGGACUGAGACACGGCCCAGACUCCUACGGGAGGCAGCAGUGGGGAAUCUUGCGCAAUGGGCGAAAGCCUGACGCAGCGACGCCGCGUGAGGGAUGACGGCCUGUGUAA